UUAGUCAUGCAAGUGAGUUUUUUAGAAUGC
rnacentral:piRNA from 1 species